AUUGAACGCUGGCGGCAGGCUUAACACAUGCAAGUCGAGCGAGCGGCGGACGGGUGAGUAAUGUCUGGGAAACUGCCUGAUGGAGGGGGAUAACUACUGGAAACGGUAGCUAAUACCGCAUACCAUCAGAUGUGCCCAGAUGGGAUUAGCUAGUCGGUGGGGUAAUGGCUCACCUAGGCGACGAUCCCUAGCUGGUCUGAGAGGAUGACCAGCCACACUGUAACUGAGACACGGGCCAGACUCCUACGGGAGGCAGCAUUGGGGAAGAUUGCACAAUGGGCGAAAGCCUGAUGCAGCCAUGCCGCGUGUGUGAAGAAGGCCUUCGGGUUGUAAAGCACGUUCAGCGAGGAGGCGUUACUCGCAGAAGAAGCACCGGCUAACUCCGUGCCAGCAGCCGCGGUAAUUC
rnacentral:rRNA from 1 species